CGCCGGAGACGCGGGCGCUGCACCUGCAGCUUGCUGCCUCGCGCUUCCCCGGUUCAUUAGCACCCUACGCACUGAUUGUAUUUGUUUUUUUUUUAAUUAUUAUUUUUUUUUAAAGAUUUUAUUUAUUUAUUCAUCAGAGAGACACAGAGAGAGAGAGGCACAGACACAGGCAGAAGGAGAAGCAGGCUGCACGCAGGGAGCCCGACGUGGGACUCGACCCUGAGUCUCCAGGGUCACGCCCUGGGCCCAAGGCAGGUGCCAAACCGCCGAGCCACCCGAGCUGCCCUAGUGACUUUAUUUGAAUGACCAUCCGCCUAUAGUGCCCGGCGCGAUGCUCUUUUUUUCUUUCUUUCUUUCCUUUUUUUUUUUUUUUUUGUUAUUUAAAUUCAGUUUGCCAACAUAGAACACCCAGUUAUAUCUGGGAUCAUCGGGCGCUGUAGCCUUUGUAUGAUUUUAACUAAUAGUGAUAUAAGGGACACAAACUACCUGCUUUGAAAAGCAAAAAUAUGUUUUGCGAUAUGUGAUUGUUUAAAAAAAAAAAAAAAAACCCUAAAAGCAUAAGAAGUAGCGGAAAAUCUUGGCCUCUAUCGGCCCACACCCUCACCCAUAGUUAAAUAGUGCCAGUGCUUAAAUUCUCGACAUUCCAGGAUUAUAAAUCACCCAGAACAGUGCCUGGCAUAUGGUAAACAUUUGGCAAAUAUAAAUAGAGGCGGCAAGGGCUGUUGAAGUUUAGGUUGCUAUCAAUACUUGGGUAUUUCGUGCAAUUAAACAGUGAAUACCAACUACUAUUGGGCUGGAGCAGUGUGAGAUGUCGUAGGAAUGGUGAAACGGGCUAUCCUUUAUCACAUGCCUACUACUGUCAGUCACUAUUUCUUAGAGCUGUGCUUUCAUGCAUGAUUUCAGUGAUCUCUAAAAAUCGCUCUGAACUGGAUAUUAUUUACUGAGAAGAAAACUGAGAAGCAGAAAGGUCAUUUACCCAAGGCUGGUCAAUGACAGAGGCAAGAUUUGAACUUGGCAGUCUGAUUCCAGAUUCCUGCUCCAGGGCCUAGUACCAUCCAUCAGCUGCUCUGCUCCUGCGUUGGCUCAGCUCAAGGCCUCGUUGGCCUGGGGCCCCUGUGAAAGCAGCUUGUGGCCCAUGUUGACUAAGUCUAUCUGCUAAAAUCACAACCUGACGGUGCUAGGCUGAAACAACUCAGCUCCACGUGGUUCCAUCAGGCCGCCACUGCCACUGCCGUGCUGCUGUGAAAAAAGAAAAGUCACAGGCCCCAAAUGGCAUCACUCAGGCCACAUCACCAAAUCGAGACUUGAUAUGCAACUUAAUUGCAGUUUCAACUGCCGCUAGAAAUGGAGUCUUAACCAGUCAGUAAUUUUCUGAUCAGUGUCAAUGAGGAACCUUGUCACAUGGGCCCAUCUCCAACCCCCAAAAGAAGGGCUUCUCAUAAGGAUACAGUUCAAAAUUUUUGGGAAGGCAUGCAAUGCAAUUCCUCAUCAUUUUUGUCUCCUGCCAUAGGAAGAACUUGAUUCAACAGCUACAUCUCCAUCCUGGCUCUGGGAUUUAUCAAAAGGAUAAUAUGCAUUCUUUUUCCCAUUAAGGAACAUGACAAGGAACAAGGAUGGUUGAGUUUCAUCUUUCUUGGUCUGGUUGCCGGUGGACAGAAUGAAGAAAAAGGAAUAGAAGCAAGAAUCUAAGGGGCACUUGGGGGCUCAGUUAGUCGUGUGUGUGCCUUUGGCUUGGGUUACGAUCCCAAGGUCCUGAGAUGGAGCCCUGUAUCAGGCUCCCUGAUUAGUGGGGAAUCUGCUUCUGCCUCUGCUCCUCCCCUCUGCUCAUACUCUCCCUCUGGCUGGCUCUCUCUCUGUGUCAAAUAAAUAAAAUCUUAAAAAAAAAAAAAAGAAGAAUCUAAAUAAUUCAUGAAGUUAUUUACCAGCACAGUAUAACUAAAAAUCGGUAAUAUUAAGGUGUUCUCAUAACUCAACUAUUAGAGCAGCGGGGGCUCAUAUAGAGACAUGGCCUUUGAUUGUACCCCCUUUCCACAAAGCUAUAUAUAAGCCAUGGGUUUUCACGAAUACAUACCUUUGGCCCAGGGUGGGAAUUAAGAUUUAUUAUGAUUUUUAAAGAUUUUAUUUAUUUAUUCAUGAGAGACACAGAGAGAUAUAGGCAGAGGGAGAAGCAGGCCCCAUGCAGGGAGUCCAAUGAGGGACUGGAUCUGGGGACUCCAGGAUCAUGCCCUGAACUAAAGGCAGACGCUUAACCGCUGAGCCACCCAGGCAUCCCAGGAUUUAGUAUCAGUGGGAACUAGGAAUUAGUAAUUCCUUCUAUUAGAAAUUACUCCAGCAUGGGUAGCAUUGGUCCUGGGUCCUGAGUCUGUCUGACACUUCUUCUUAUUUUGUACCUAUUAUGGGAUAGGUACUUGGAGAUAACAAAAUGAAUAUGAGGACAUCCCUGCACUAAAAGGGUUCUAGUCAAGUCAAGGGACACAUAAGCAGAGAAGAGUGAUAACAAAAUGUUGCAGGUGCUAUUUUGUCAAAGGGUACAGUGUGGGCACCUGGUAGGAAGCUGGUCAGUUCCGUCUGGGAGACAGGGCAGGAGAGGCUUCAUGGAAGAGCUGGAGCAUGAGCUGGCAGGGAGUUUGUGAGGUGGGAACUGAAGUUAGAGGACAAAAGGAGUUGAGAGAGAGCAUUCAUGGCAGGACAUGGGCAAUAACAGGAAGGCAUAAAAAUAGCAGAGCAUGUCUGGAAAGUGGCAAUUGCUUAGAUAUGGUUGGGUGUAUUAUGGUGAGGAGGAAGCAGUGAAUGAGAAGACUGGAUAGGAAGGUGAAGUCCAGGUCACAGAGGACCUUAUAUGCUGUGCUAGGGAGCUCAAUCUGAUCCAGAAUGCAAGGGGGAACCAUUGAAGGGUUGUAUGUAGGGAAAGGGCAUCAUCCUAUUUGCUUCUGAAAGAUCACUGUCUACUCAGUGGAGGAUGAAAGGAAGAGGCACCAAGCUGGAGGCAGAAACACCAAGUAGAUGACCGUCAUAGGCCAGAUAAGAAGUGAUGAGGGCCUGAUAUGAAGCAGUAGCUAUAGGGAUGAAGUGAAGAGGACCAGUGCAAGGACAACCUCAGAGGAAGGGCUUCCCUGUUAUAGGACACAAAUGAUCAGAGGCUGAAAAGCCCUCGUCUGAGGACAGAAAGGAAAGCUAAGCUGAACAUUCCUGAAAUUUAAUCUUGUGCUACUGUUGAGUUACAGGGAGAUAUAAUAUUCUUUAUAAUAAUCAUCAAUAUGACCUACCGUGGUCAUGGACUUUGGAUGAUUUUCUAAUCUUCCGGGUCUGUAGGAGACAGAAAGAGAAUAAUGUGGAAAAAACAAAAACAACAACAAAAAAACAAAAAACAAAAACACGGUGGUGGCAGUGGCGGUGAGGAGGGCUAAAACAGUGAGUGAAUCUAGUGAGCAAGUACACCAUUAUUUAAAAUACUCUUGCCCUCACUUGCAAGGAGAAAUUGCCACUUAGGAUAGAACUCGGAGACCCUAAAAGAUUAAGAGAAAGCUUUUCAGUGUGUAAUAUAUGGAUCAGUCUCAUUGGAAUUAAGUAAGUAUAUCGAACCACAGUCUUGUUAUGCUUAACAUUCUCAGGGAUUUCUUUAGGAUAAGUUUCUGGCUCCUUGAAAGCGAUAAAGAACUAAAGGCAAAAAAGAAAAAAAAAAGACAUCUGAAACCAUUAAUAUUAUGUACUUGCUUUUAUCUCUUAUUUCCCACUGUUUCCUCUACCGAAGACAAUUGGUACCAGGAGCAUCAUAAUUCUGAGACGGUGCAGAGGUAGUCUAAAGCGCAUUGCCAUUGUUGAAUUUAUUGAGGAGCAUGGGAAGCUUCAAGGAUGGUGGCUGAAGGCUCCUGUAAGUCUCCGAUUUUCUAAGAAACAGCCUUGAUCAGCUGGAAAGGGUCUUGACAGCUCUUCUGCUCCAGCUCACCCCCUGGCUUCAAGGGCACUCUAAAUCAAUACAAAUGGGCCUCAAAAUCCCUGGUAUAAUAAGCUAAGUAUAAAUAAACAACUAUCUGAAUUAGUGAAAUGUGUGAAAUUUAUAUGCUAAUUUUAUUUUAAAAUAAU